GCUUAACGCGAAGAACCUUACCAGGUCUUGACAUCCCGCUGACCGCUAUGGAGACAUAGCUUUCCCUUCGGGGACAGCGGUGACAGGUGGUGCAUGGUUGUCGUCAGCUCGUGUCGUGAGAUGUUGGGUUAAGUCCCGCAACGAGCGCAACCCUUGUCCUUAGUUGCCAUCAUUCAGUUGGGCACUCUAAGGAGACUGCCGUACAAAUACGGAGGAAGGUGGGGAUGACGUCAAAUCAUCAUGCCCCUUAUGACCUGGGCUACACACGUGCUACAAUGGACGGUACAAACGGUUGCGAAGUCGCGAGACGGAGCCAAUCCGAGAAAGCCGUUCUCAGUUCGGAUUGCAGGCUGCAACUCGCCUGCAUGAAGCCGGAAUCGCUAGUAAUCGCGGAUCAGCAUGCCGCGGUGAAUACGUUCCCGGGUCUUGUACACACCG
rnacentral:rRNA from 1 species